GAUGAACGCUGGCGGCGUGCCUAAUACAUGCAAGUCGAGCGAACAGACGAGGAGCUUGCUCCUCUGACGUUAGCGGCGGACGGGUGAGUAACACGUGGAUAACCUACCUAUAAGACUGGGAUAACUUCGGGAAACCGGAGCUAAUACCGGAUAAUAUAUUGAACCGCAUGGUUCAAUAGUGAAGGACGGUUUUGCUGUCACUUAUAGAUGGAUCCGCGCCGCAUUAGCUAGAUGGUAAGGUAACGGCUUACCAAGGCAACGAUGCGUGGCCGACCUGAGAGGGUGAUCGGCCACACUGGAACUGAGACACGGUCCAGACUCCUACGGGAGGCAGCAGUAGGGAAUCUUCCGCAAAGGGCGAAAGCCUGACGGAGCAACGCCGCGUGAGUGAUGAAGGUCUUCGGAUCGUAAAACUCUGUUAUUAGGGAAGAACAAAUGUGUAAGUAACUAUGCACGUCUUGACGGUACCUAAUCAGAAAGCCACGGCUAACUACGUG
rnacentral:rRNA from 1 species